rnacentral:lncRNA from 1 species
UUUUAUUCUAUUUUUUAGCAUAACCAGCUGACACCCACUGACGAUGCUUUCCCCAGUGUUGCUGCUUGACCCUGUUCUACAUUCCUCGCUGCUGAAUGCCCAACCAGCCACGCAUGGUCCUGAGUCCAGGUGCACUUCACAGGUUGGGCCGUGCUUUGCCUUUGGAGCCGUGGAUCACAUGCAGGUUUCCCUUGUGAUAGACAGAAGUAAUAUCUCCGGCAGCAGGAGUGCUCAACCAUGUAAGUCUCUAUAAAGUUAACGGUUUGGGAGUAAACAGCUUUUUAUGCAAGAGGAGAUGUAAGGAAAUACUGCUCUGCUCGCGCUCUGCCAUUGAGUUAAGGUUCCAGGCGCAGCAGAAGGCUGCUCCAAAGCUUAUGCUUGAAAACAGACCUGGAAAAGUAUGUGUGAGCUGGGAUUGUCUGGGGGAUGGAGGAGGAGGCCCACUCAUUCAGAAUCAGAGCUUUCAUAGGAAAAGGUCCGUUCCGGUAAAAUUCUCCACUCGUAUUUGACAAAGGAGAGGAAAGGAGCAGCUGCCAUUUCUCCCUGGAAAAGCUGCUCUGCAGAGUCCCCCAUUUUGGAAAGCUACAGCUGGAAGUGGUUCUGAUUAGCCCCAAGUGGGUAUUUGUAACUAUCGGUGUCGUUCUUCCCAUGGCACGUGGCUGUCUCCUGUGGGUCUGGUGGGAGGUGGGGCCGUCACCUGGGAGAUGAGUGACAACAAAUUGCGGAGAGCCCUUCUCUGCACGUGGGCAUUGAGUUCAUGUCCGAGCAGGGACGUAGAGCAGGGAAGGAGUAUUACUGCUUGGGCACCGAGGGCCAAACUUUAAAAGCGAAUUCAAGCUGAUAAUUAGUGAAAGUACAAAUCUGGCACGUGGCUGCUCCGUUUGGACCUAAAGCAAAUAAAGGCAUCUUGAGGAUGCA